UUGGCCUCAGAUGACUUUUAAAAUGUUUAUGUCAUUGAAAAAGUCCCAAAUUAUCUCCCUUUGGUACCAAAAUGCCAUUUUUUUUGGCAUUAAAAUUGAAAUACUUUUUUUCAUCGUUGAUCUAUAUUUUUUUUUUAUUUCGAUAUUACCUCUAUUUCUCCUAUUACUUCAAGAGAAAAAAAAGGACAUUAACAAAAAUGUAUGCUUCUUUCGGAGGCAGAUUGUGAGCGUAAAUGAACGGUGACCCCAUUUUUUAAUUUCAUUUUUCUAUUAAGUAACUAUAUGCUGUAGUUCAUUUAUGAAAAAAUAUAGCGAAAUCCUAUAUAAGAAAAAAAAAUUGAUCUAUACCCGGAGGCCCCCUUAAGGAGACUCGAGGGUACAAAAAAAUCAGCACAAAUUGAAACAUUUAUUUUUUCAUUACACAUUUU
rnacentral:lncRNA from 1 species